ensembl:lncRNA
GCUUGUUGCGUUGGAAGGUUAUUUCCAGGAGUAAUGCUAAUAUCAAUAAGGCCCUUUAAAAAUGAACUAAAGCAACUUGGAAAGUAUUGCUUUCCCUCUCAACCACUCUUCGUAUCUCCCCGGAAGUGGCUCUGUUUGUCCUGAAUCCUGGAAGUGUCUCUGAAUCCUGCAAGGAUUGAAAUGAUUGUCCUCAUACCUGCAAAAUAUUCCUGCACAACGCGUGCAAACGAUUUGACCUAGUUCUUGGGCCUCACCUAGAAGCUCCUGCAUGAGAGGAUCAAAUCCAUCUGCAUUACGGCAUCCUCAAGGGUCUUUGGGAAAGGCCUAUAGAAUACUUUGCUGAAGACAUUUGUUAACUGGCCACAGACCCUGAGUGGCAAAAACAGUGUGCUUGUCAGCUGGGAAAAGCCCCUCCAAAAAUCAGCAGAGACAAGCAAGGCAACCUCCAUGUGAAGCUUGAUUAGGACAUGGCUUGUAUUUCGGACGAUAAACUCUAUUUAUGAUGGCCUCCCGGUCAUUAAGUAUCUCCGCUGUAAGAGAAAAUUGGGGCUAUUAACUUCUCCAGAUAGAGCCAGGGGGAAGAGCGAUCAUUUCUUUUAUAAGCAGAAGGGAAGGCUCUGCUCAAUAAAGAUCAAUUAAACAUCUCUGUUAAAAGGCUGCUUGGGAGCUGGUGCCGAUAGAAAUUCCACCGUAUUAACCCUUGCUCUCUCGUUCCCGCCAGCCCUCCCCACCUCUGUAUCUGGAAUUGCGGAAAAUUUUAAGAGAACGUGGGCGACUGUAAGCUCUCUAAGGUGACAGUGGCUCUCACAUCCUUGGCUCAAUGAUCUCUGAUGUUGAGUGACUUUCCAUGCAUUUAGCGGGAGCAUCUCCAGAGGACAGCAGGCAAGUCAACACUCCUCUGGAUUCAGCUGAGCAUCAAUCUUCCUCAUGAGGGAGUAAAAAAAAAAAAAAAACAUAGAAACAGGUGCCCCAAAAGAUUACUUGGUGGUCAGAGCUCUGAAUUCCCAGGAUGCAGGAAGAGUUUUGGGGGCCCUUGGUGGUCCACUGCAUAAAGAACACAGUCCGAGGUCCCCCGCAAUCUCCACCAACACCUUACAUUUACGAUUUCAUUCUAGUCCUUUAAAAUACCACGCACUUCUAUUCUCUGGCCUACACUGUGUCCUCUGAUGGAAAUACCAUCUUUUCUCGGUGAGAAUUAACUGCCCUGCUUUCUGAGCUACCGUACGGUUUUCUUACACUGCAGUUACAAUAUGUGCCUGACAGUUAAUUUUUCAAACUUACGUCCCUCAUCCAAGAUGUAAACCCCAGUAACUGGUUUGAUGCUUUGCACAUGUCAAGUGUGUUGAAAUAAGCCUGCAGUUGGUCUUGGACAAACAUUAUUGCAGUCAACAUGUUGAUAACCACAGUCCUGAAAGGUGGGCUGUGUGCAUGGCCUAAGUCAUGGGAUAAUCCAGCCAGGCUGAAUGAAAAUGGCUCUAAGGGGACACAUCCAUCUAUACUUAAACCCAGAAAUUGUUAAACUUAAAAAUCUCCAGCAGUAACUUAGACAUUAAAGCCCUGGGCCUCUCUGUAAUAGUUUUCUAGUGCUGUGUAACAAAUUAGUACAAACUGAGCAGUCUGCCGUACAUAACUAUUAUCUCGCAGUUUCUGUAGGUCGGAAGUCCAGGCACAGCGUGGCUGGAUUCUCUGCUCUGCUGGGGUCUCACCCACUUGAUGUCAACGUGUCGGCCAGGGCUCGGUGUUCAUCUGGGGCUGGGCGUUCUCUUCCAAGCUUACUAGUUGUUGGAAGACUUAUUUCCUUAUGGUUGUAGGACUGAGGAUUCCUUUCCUUCCUGGCCAUCAGCCAGCCAGGGUCCUCUCAGCUCCUAGAGAUGACCCACUUUUCUUGCUAUGUGGCCCCCUCCAUGUCUAAAGCCAGCAGUGGAGACUCUUGCCCCACCUGGCAUCUUCUCAUUUUGAUUCUCUCUGACUCUUCUGUCUCUGACUUCUAGACUUGGGUUUAAAGGGCUCAGCUGUUUUGAUCAGGCCCAUUAGGAUGAUUGCUUCCUCUUAAGGUCAACUGAUUCGGGGCCUUAAUUACAUCUGCAAAAAUCCCUGCAGAGUAGCCUUAAAUUAGUGUGUGACUGGGUAAUUGGAAGGAGGUGCCUAUUCGCCAGGGGAUGGAACACGUGGAGGCCAUCUUAGAAUUCCACACUCACCAAUCAGCUGAGGUGAAAGCUUUGCUUGUCUGCCUCUGCCUGACCUCCUAAUGUCCUCCCCUACGUCAUGAGUGGUGUAGACAGAGGAGGUCACAAACCUGCAUCUGACAUUAACAGCGCUGCUCCCUGAAGAGGGAGGGAAGACACAGCCUUGACUUUAUCCCUCAAUGUGUGCCUUCCCGCCGGGUAAGGGAAGAACCUUCAUAAGAGGCAGUGGGCAUUGCCUCCAGAGCACAGAGUUCAAGGUUCCAGUGUCUAAGUCUGCGUCCCAGCUCUGCCCCUCACCAGACCUCGCCAUCUCAGGUAGCACAGAAACAUGCAGAAGAUCAGAUCACAAAUUGGAUCCCCAAACCUCACUGGUGUUCUAGAUUUUUGUCAUGGAUUUACUCACAGACUCUGUGGAGGGGUCACAUGGCCCAUGACGACAGCAAAACACCCUUAAACCCAACUUCACCCAGCUUCCGCUCCCGUGGUCCAAGUCUUUAGCAACUGCUCCGGGAUCUUUCCUUUCACCUCUGGCUGGCUGCCUUUCUUCAUCCACUACCUCCUCUUUCAUCUUGUCUCCAUGAAGACGAGAUGAAGACAGUUUGGCCAAUCAAGGACUCUGACACAUGUCUCUUACUGUCUCCUGGGUCAGUUCCAGAAAGGAUCUUAGUGAUAAGAAACCACCACGUUUUAGGAAUGGGGAUGGGGGAGAAAGGUUGUCAAUACUUCAAUAGGUUUUGUUCCUGACACAUAAUAUCUAUGUGUACCUCUCGCCACGGUGUCCAUUUUAAAAAUGGGGUCUUAUACCUAAUGUCUUCUGAUUGGCUUAUUUCACUUGAUAACACAUCACAGAUCUUCAGCAGUAUUUAUAAGCCAACCUCAUUGUUUUUAACAACUGUCUCUAUUCUACCAUAUGAACGUGCCAUAACUAAUUUAACCCUUUCUAUACAAAAUGUUUCUUUUCUCUUUUUCUUCACUCUUGCAAAUAAUCUGCAGUGAAAAUCUUCUGUACUUUUCGUUUCUUUGCACACUUAGAAGUUUAUUUGCUGGGUCGAAAAGGAUGUGCGUUUUGACAGCAGAUUAUGGGAGGGGCGAUUGUGAACAUAGCAUGGGAUCUGUCCUGAAUAUUUUUCUUCCUGACCAACCUCCCCACUGGAUUCACAUUGAAUACAGCUUUCAUUUAUAGCUUAGGGGCAGUAAGUAAAAACUGGAAGAGCUAUUUCUCUAAAAAAAAAAAAAAAAAAACUUGGUAAAAUAUUGUGUGCGGCACAAAUAUGACUGCCUUGGGAAUGACAGCUCAAGAGAGGAAUGAGGUAUUUCCCUGUACUGUUCUAUAUAAACCAUUGGCAGCUUUGGUCCACUGGGGGUCCGAGGCCUGGUGGUACUGAGGGAGCUGUGCAGACACAGCGCCACCCAGUGGCUGUCUGGAGAGGAUGGAUUUGUUUGCAGGCACUGGUGCAAAAUCCCUGGGAACUCCUGGAAACGGGUGAGGGACAUUUUACUGGAGGCUGAAGUCCUGCAUGAACAGCAGGGAGAUUAGAGCAAGUGACAUUUGGGUUAUUGUUAAGGUGACUCCAUGUGUAGCCAUAGGCUGGUGCCUGGGGCAACUCAGGUUACUGUUGCUUUUGAGUGAAUUUGCAUUUUAUGUCUCAUACUGUGUCUGCAUAUAUUAGAACAAGAUAGCGGCAAUAUACAGGGAGCAAGUCAAUCUCUGGGCAGUGCUUAUCUGACUUCAGGGACCUCUGCCGUAGCUCUGUGGUCCAUAAGUUGGGAACCACUGAGAUGGGAUAUUGAAAAGCCGAGUGCAAAUGAAAUCAUUAACUCAAUGUCAAGGGGAGCAUGCUCUUUCAAGGAAUCCCGGGGUGGAUUCUCACCAAAGGAACACUCUGUUACUCCUUCUCAAGGUCCUAAAAUGACUCCCUGAUGUAACAAAUCAACUUACCUGCAGUUGUUACCCCUCCCUCCGUUACAAGUCCCUGCCCUGGGAUGCGCCCUGUUUCCCAAGCUCUGAGCAGGCAGGUGCUCUCAUGGCCAUUAGCAAGCAGAUGUUUAUUUCUACUUCUAAAUCUUUGCCUCUGUUUUCCCAUCUCUCUGAAGUGCCAUCUCCGCCCCUUUAGUAAUUUAAAGACUUCCACUCUUCAUGCCCUUCUGAGUCCACUGCUCCAAGUCCUCUGGGCCAACUUGGGCCUGAAGGGACUCUUCCUUUUGUAAGCUACUGAAGCUUGUGUUCUUGGUGUUGUAAAUUUGAUGUGGUCUCCGUUUUGGGCAUGUCACUUGUCUUCUCAGCUAGACGGAAUUCUGACAUCAGUGAGGCUUAAUGUCUUCAUACCUCCUUGAAGGAAGAUGUUAGACACAAAAUAGCAUAUUUAUGUAACUCCCUGCAUGAUGAAAAAAAUUAGAGCCAAAUGGUUUUUUUUCGGAAACCUAGAUCUUCGUAUGUUGGAUCUGCUUUAAGUCGACUUAAAAACUUUCAUUCACUUAUCCAUUCAUCUAGUUAUUUGUACAUAUAAUAUACGAAGUGCCGAAUACGUGUCAGAUGUCAGGCACGUCCUUAUUCAGCAGAGAGUGGAGAAAACACCUUGGUUUUCCGGAACUGUGACAAAUGGGCAGCCCAUGCUCUAUGGAUGGACCCUCGCGACUUGCCACCUUGGCUCUGAAGAUGCCUGUUUCCCCCGUUGUGGUGGUGACCAGCUUAUCCUCUAUGUUCUCACCUGCACCCUAUAGACCUGCGCUGAAUGCUCACAUGAGGCUGGAUGUGGGUCUUGGGUCUAGGAGCAUAGUCUUCCACUUAGAAUGGAGUUGUUCCUGGGAAAAGCAUGGUCUCCUAUGCGGAAAAUCAAGCCGGUUGCUCAUAAAAAUGGAGCUGCUCUUCCUGGAUCAAGGAUUGAGAAGCCAGACCACCUGGAUCACGUGUCCCUAUGCUCCUGGGCCUGGUGCACUGCUCAGGAAACAUGUUGAGUGAGCGAUGGUCAUAUUCUAUUGGAUUCAGCUCUGCUUCCUCUCAUUCUGCGCUGUGUUGACUUUUUCUAUGUGACCUAUGUUUUGCUGGCCUGUGGGUUAAGAGUAGUUAUUGCUCACAGGCCAGUGGGCAACUGUUAAGUGGUAGAAGUUCAGGAGAUCUAAUACCUUGGGGGGAUUUGUACCAAUUACUUAACUGCCCGAAUACCAAGUUCCUGCAUGUGAGCUUUAUAAUAAGAUGAGCCAGGUCUCACAUUUAUCCCAAGAAGACAGGACUUAUCCAAAUCAUCUAUAUUUUAGCAGGCAGUACCAAACUUCAGGCCUCAGAAACACAUUUUAAAUAAUUCUUGCCAUGCCAUAUAUUUUAAGUAUCAUUAAAAAGCCAUUUUCUUUAAAAAAUAUGUGUGCAAUAUAUUUUAUGAAACCUAGAACAAGUCUAUGAAAAAUUGAUUAUUUUUUCCACAGGGAUGUGUUCAGAUGAUUUUCAUUCUGCUCACCAAAUGAAAAAUCCAGCGUGUGUUAUGUCCUUUAUCUUAUUUACUCUCUCUCCUGAGAAUAAUCACCAUGUUCCCAAACAAAGAGAUGGGUUGCCCGGUUUGAGUAACCAAAUAAUUUCCUGUGGUGGGCAAAGGAGUUGCUGCAGAUCUAAACUAGGAAGCGUGCAUUUCCCUUUCAAAUGCCGGAUUUUCCUGCUCUGUGCCUCCCUUCAGUCAGCUCCAGGCUGCUUCCCUGAUGCUAACUUAAGAUCCAGCUAUUACACUGGGAUGAAAAUGGAGAGCUUUGCUCAGCCUCUGAACACACGUUAACAGCACAGGAGGUCCUAGGAUCCUCACAAAUAAGAAUCGUCACAAAAGAAUGAGCCCCGUUUGUUUUUCCAUGUGAAUCAGCAUUUCCAGAGGAUUCCAACAUUUGAAAUGCCAACUGAGGUUAAAAGCAAUGGAGCGCUCUCCUGAUGAAUCCCUGCCUCUGCUCCAGGGUGAAAACAUGAUGGUGUCCAUUGGAUCUCUGCCUUUCUGGCUCUGAGUCAUUCAGUGUUUAUAACCGGAAGAGCAACAGUGGUUCAAAAGCCUGCACACCUCGAGGGUUGGGUCCACUGGAAUUUGUAGAAGACCAGUGCCCCAAUUCCAAUGCCUAAGUGCAUGGAAUUCCAUUGCCUAAGGCACUGUAUUCUGCACUGAUGAAGUGAUGGGAUACGACAGACAUGCUUUCAUGGACCUUAUCCUCCAGUGGGAAGAUGGACAAUAAGGAAAGAGAUUCAUGAGUAGAAUGAUCUUAAAAACACCGAGGUGUGAAACAGAGGCCCUGUUCAAAAGUUGCUUAGGGCCUGGCUACUUGGAGUGUUGUUCUCGACUGGCAGCAUCAGCAUCCCUGGGAGCCUGUUGGAAACGCAGAAUCUCAGGCCACACCCCACACCUGUGGAAUUAAUCUGCUUUUUAAACAAGAUCCCUGUGGUUCAUGAUUUGGAGGCAUCAUAAUGUUUAAGAAGCACUGGCUUAUGCAACAUAGGUAAGAAUGACUAGAGCUGGAACCUGCCCUCAACUAGGUCAGGAGUUUGUUGAUGGAGAUAGAUAAGCAAAUACACGGUGACUCAAUGUGAAAGCUGGAAGCAGGUAGCAGGGGGCUGCAAGAGAGCACAAGAGAGUGAGUGAUGCUUACUGGCACAGGUGGGAUGGGGCAGUGGAGGAAGCUCAAGGAAGCCUCCCCAGAGUGAUGCCACCAAAGCUAUGACAGGGAAGAACUGGUCAAAGGCAUACAGGAGUUUGAAGCGGAGGAAGGUCACACAGAUUUGCAUUUGAAGCACUAAGGGCUUUGUGGGAAGACAGACUGGGGAAGGGUGAAGCAGAACUCAGGAGACCAGGGUGGUAGCCCUUGCAGGCUGUGUUCCAGGUGAGACAAGAAGGCCCUGAAACCUGUGGCUGGAUUCAUCCAGGCUCGGGAAGGCCUAGGAGGAAGAGCUGCUUGAAGGUUUAGGAAAAGACGGUAUGGAGCAGGCCAGCCCUGGAAGUCUUGGAAAGAGCACUGUGUGACCUCUCUUUGCUUGAGUUGACUUUACUGAAUCCUACCAGAAGAACCUGGCAAAUAAAUUUUACUUUGUGUGACAACUACCUCUGGCGAAGGCUUUGAUUUCAACUCACCAAGAAGGGAACCCACUUUAGUUUGGUAACAAAACCAGUUGGAGUCAGUUUGGGUAUAAAAAGAUACGCCAAUCAAGUCUUCUAUAGACGGCCCCUGUUAGCAAAUCAUAUGUACUCCUACAAAGCCAUCCAAGUUGUCCUCACGUCCUAGCAGCAAAACUAAAGACCGAAACAAAGACAAAAGAACUGACCACCCUGAAAAUGCUUAACAACAUGGAUUUCAAGAAACAUGUAAGCUGCGAACUGAGAGUGUCAAAUGAUGAAGAAGCACAAUGGAAGUUCUUGGGAAGAUGAUGGGCUGUCUCCCUAGUCCCUCUAAUUCGUGACUUACUGGGGCAGAGACGGGGGAGGACAGCCUGGGUGCUGCCUGCCACCUUUCUUUACAGGCGGGAGCUGGUGGGAGCACGGCAGCCACAGAGGAGCACAGCGGAGCCGGGAGUGUUCCAGCAAAGCCUCUCAGGGCGAGUCGGUCCGCGUCCUCCAGGCUGCAAUUCGGAGGCCGUAACGGGAAGUCUGUGCUUCUUCCCGCUCCCAAGCCCCGCCUUCCUCUCAAAGACAGAGAAUUAGUUAAAAAAGCAAAUGAAGGAAAUUCCCUAAAGAACCCUACCGGGGAACAACAAAAACAUCCAUUGUAAACAGCAGGAGUUGAGAGGGCUGGAUGAUUUUAAAAACUUGUGUUUGGACCUCGUGGAGUUCUUUUAGUGGGCAGUGGCCCUGAGAGAGACACAGGUGUCAGGAAUGGGAGUGAUUACUGCUGGUGCCUCCAGGAUGGAGCAGUCUCUUCUUGAAGAUUUGCCUUCCCUCCUCCCUCAGCUUUAUUGAGAUAUAAUUGACAAAUAAAAAUUGUAUAUAUUUAAGGUA